CCCUACGGGGGGCAGCAGUGGGGAAUAUUGCACAAUGGGGGAAACCCUGAUGCAGCAACGCCGCGUGAAGGAAGACGGUUUUCGGAUUGUAAACUUCUGUUCUUAGUGAAGAAAAAUGACGGUAGCUAAGGAGCAAGCCACGGCUAACUACGUGCCAGCAGCCGCGGUAAUACGUAGGUGGCAAGCGUUGUCCGGAUUUACUGGGUGUAAAGGGCGUGUAGCCGGGCUGACAAGUCAGAUGUGAAAUUCCGGGGCUCAACCCCGGACCUGCAUUUGAAACUGUUGGUCUUGAGUAUCGGAGAGGC
rnacentral:rRNA from 1 species